UACGUAGGGUGCGAGCGUUAAUCGGAAUUACUGGGCGUAAAGCGUGCGCAGGCGGUUAUGCAAGACAGAGGUGAAAUCCCCGGGCUCAACCUGGGAACUGCAUUUGUGACUGUAUAGCUAGAGUACGGUAGAGGGGGAUGGAAUUCCGCGUGUAGCAGUGAAAUGCGUAGAUAUGCGGAGGAACACCGAUGGCGAAGGCAAUCCCCUGGACCUGUACUGACGCUCAUGCACGAAAGCGUGGGGAGCAAACAGG
rnacentral:rRNA from 1 species